rnacentral:rRNA from 1 species
GGGCCCGCACAAGCAGCGGAGCAUGUGGUUUAAUUCGAAGCAACGCGAAGAACCUUACCAGGACUUGACAUCCCUUGCAUUACUCGUAACGGAGGAAAUCCUUCGGGACAAGGAGACAGGUGGUGCAUGGUUGUCGUCAGCUCGUGUCGUGAGAUGUUGGGUUAAGUCCCGCAACGAGCGCAACCCUUAUCAUUAGUUGCUAACAGUAAGAUGAGCACUCUAAUGAGACUGCCGGGGACAACUCGGAGGAAGGUGGGGAUGACGUCAAAUCAUCAUGCCCCUUAUGUUCUGGGCUACACACGUGCUACAAUGGGUAAAACAACGGGAAGCAAGCUAGUGAUAGCAAGCAAAUCCCUAAAAGUUACUCUCAGUUCGGAUUGUAGGCUGCAACUCGCCUACAUGAAGUUGGAGUUGCUAGUAAUCGCGAAUCAGAAUGUCGCGGUGAAUACGUUCCCGGGCCUU